rnacentral:rRNA from 1 species
UACGUAGGGGGGCAAGCGUUGUCCGGAAUCAUUGGGCGUAAAGCGCGUGUAGGCGGCUCGGUAAGUCCGCUCUGAAAGUCCAGGGCUCAACCCUGGGAUGCGGGUGGAUACUGCCGGGCUCGAGUCCGGAAGAGGCGAGUGGAAUUCCCGGUGUAGCGGUGAAAUGCGCAGAUAUCGGGAGGAACACCAAUGGCGAAGGCAGCUCGCUGGGACGUGACUGACGCUGAGACGCGAAAGCGUGG